UCAGCUGCUGGGGGUGUUUCAGCACUGGUGCUCAGAGCGAAGGGGCCCGGGCUGCAGACAUGGAACCGGGGCCCGUCAGCGGCAAAGCAGUCAGGGCACCUUACUGAGAGGACAUACGUGAAACCUCUGCCCCUAUGCAGCUGCAUGACUGUGGGCCUCUGAGAUUCUAGUCUCAUCUCGGGAAAUUCUUCCUGGAAAUUAGCAAGAUCAGAAAAGGACCCUUCAUGCCAGACACAGAAGAGACAUGCAAAGCUGCCCAGGUGACUGAUUCUGCAUGCCGCGCACUAUGGAGACCAGGUGCCACCAACACUGAUGAUGCCGUCUGAGGAAGUCUAUUAGGGCCCCGCCAGGUGCCACCGACACUGAUGAUGCCGUCUGAGGAAGUCUAUUAGGGCCCCGCCAGGUGCCACCGACACUGAUGAUGCCGUCUGAGGAAGUCUAUUAGGGCCCCGCCAGGUGCCACCGACACUGAUGAUGCCGUCUGAGGAAGUCUAUUAGGGCCCAUGGCCCCUCUCAAGGUGAACAGACACCAUGAAAAGACACUCAAGGCAAGGCGGUGCUUACACUCCACCCGUUCACACCAGGGCUCCUUGCUCACACGGGUCUUCGAAACCUCACCCGGACUGCCCAAAGUCAACCAACAACGCUCGCCCGCCCGCCCCUCCAGGGUUUUUAGACAGAAUCCUGACCACACGACUCAGACGGGUUGAGACGGGGCUGGGGGGGCAAGUCUGUGGAAGGGAGGAUCCAUGUACAGUAACGGCAGCACCUCAGCACCUGGCAUUGUGACUCCAAAGCACUGGACUCUGAACUUCAAUGAAGGCAUUAAAAAAAAAAAAUCCCUGAAAGACUAACCCCCCUCAAAAUAAAUUUAACAAUAAUGUCCCA